AAGGGAAAAUAGGUGGAAAUUCAAAAAUCAAGUGAAAAAAGGUGGUGAGUCAAUUGUUUCGGGUAAGAGACUGCACCCGAGGGCGGAAGAUAGGAGUAUUUCUACUCCUAAUACUGCUCGGGGAAUUUCAUAGUUAGCUGACUUUGACAAG
rnacentral:sRNA from 1 species